AGGGUCAGUGAUGUCCUGCAGCAGCCAGAGACCGGCCUGCAAAGCUCCAGCACCAACUGAACUUCCUGGGCCCAAGGACCCUGCUCCUCCUGGUGUGUGUAUGGCGUGGGGGGGAGAACAGUCUGGCCCCUACAGAAGCCAAAUGAAUUCUAGACAAUGACUAUAGACUACUACAAGUGCAACCAAUGGGAGCCCUGAUUGUAUCUGCUAUACCAGAUGUAGUACCAUUGCUGGAGCAGUGCUUUGCAAACGGAGUUUCAAGUCCCACCUUCCAUCCAACCACACGGAUGACGUUAGUCCCUUGUAAAUAAAUAUGCUAGAGCUUUGGCCACGACCUGCAGGACAAGAAAGAUUUUCUGCCCAGAUAGAAGUCAGAAGUGAUGCAGAAAAUGGCACAACCAUCUGCAGUCUUGGAAUCCUCCCCAGGGACUGCCAGCCCUGGGACUGACGGCCCAGGACGGUUAUCUCACAAGAACAGCUGUGGGAUGUGACCAGCCCCCUUGGGGGAGAGACAGCACCCACUCCUGGAAGGCCCAGCCUACACAGGAAAUUGUUAUCUUACCUCCCUUGGGGAACAAAAAGGAAGCUUUGUUUGAUGCAGACAUCAAAAAUGAGUGGCCUUAGGGCCACAUCUGUGUAUAUUCUCUGGUCCUCCAUGCUGCCGCUACUGGUUUGUAAUCGAACGAACAUUCAAAUAUCAGAUGAGUUCAGGUAACAGCCCAGACUUCUGGGCUCUCUGGUCAAAAAGGAUCCAGGCUCCAAUUCACCUUCAUCCCUGUAGCAGCCAGAAUCCAGAUGGGUGGUCAGCGGUCACCACCUCCGCAAGGGACAAGCCUGCUUCUGUCUACAUUAUGCCACAUCCUCCAGAUUUUCUCCUCAACCAGAAGCCAGGGGUUUUGUUCUUCUAACACGAGUAGAAGAAAUAUUUACCUAUAGCCAUAGUCCCACCAAGAACAGGAAAAUGAAUGCUACAUGGGGAGAGCCAGAACUUCCAGACAAGUGGGAAAGACUAUACAGUAUUUUUCCUCUGACGCCAGCCAGUCUCGGCCAUUUAAUUUAUAUGUCCUGGUUUAAAUGGGUUUUUUUUUUAAUUGAAGUUUAGUUGGCAUACAAUAUUAUAUUAGUUUCAGGUGUACCACAUCGUGAUUCCACAAUUCUGUACAUCGCUCAAAGCUCACCAUGUAAAUACUUCACUUUCCUGGAGGAAUACUGAUCAUAGAGGUUGAGAAGCUCUUUAUUUCCUCUCUGUUGAUCCAGGUAUCCUAAAAUCUGAUUGUCACCUUCAAAGGCCCUUCACCAUUUAUCCCAGGAAUAGAGUCCCCCAUGCAAAUGGGGGUCUUGAUGGACUGCCAGCAUUUCUGAGGAACACUGCACAGGGGAAGCUGGGGACCACAGGAGUGUAGCUACAAGAGGGACUACAGUACAGCGGUCAAGGAGGCAAGGUCAAGGAGUGAAAGGCAACCACUGAAAACUCACCCAUCACCCUCAUAAAGAACCCUAAGUUCAAUGAGCUACAUUUCCAGAAGGCUUGAAACCCAGAAAUAGCCAGAACUAUAAAGAACAAAAAGUGGAAAAGAACUGACAGCCUGGAAACGUGAGACCUGGUCGUCGUCGUCGUCAUCGUCGUCAUCAUCAUCAUCAUCAUCAUCGAGAAUUUGCCAAGUGCACUGUACAAAGAACCACCAGAAAAGAAAGAUGAUUAUUAAGGGACACAGUCCCAGGUCUUUAAGUCAUGUCUUUUUUUUUUUUUAAGUCAUACAUUUUUUUUCAACUGUGGAAUUAUUCUUCUUCUGGGCCCUCUGGAAAUGCAGUGGGAAAACCACUGAUAUGAAAAGGUAAACAUGUUGGAAGAAGACACUUGUAAAUUCCUUCUUAUUUCCAGGCAUCAUAAUGUAACUCACAAGAAACAAAUGAAGCAGGAGUCUUGGGCUUGGUUCUAGCUUUCCCCCAUCAUAGGCUGACAGUCGGCUUCUCAGGGUCUUGGUUUCUCACUAUAAAAGGAAUUGUUUGGCCUCUGUUAUCUGCUAAAGUCCUUCCAGCUUUAACAUUUUAUGAUUCUAGGAUCUUUGAAAAUUUCAUUAUUGGAAGGCCAAGGUUGAUUUUUGCUAUGAAUCAAAAAACAAAAACAAAAACAAAAACAAAAACCAGCCAAAAAACAACCAGAUAUUCCAAUAUAAAUGACCAGAUGCCCAGGGGACAACAGACACUUGAGGAAAGAAAGCAAGGGAGCAGGGAAGGCCUGGUAUGUCAAGUACAGUACAGAAAUACAGUGAGCCGAAGAAGACUUCAUGGCAUACCUACCUGAAAAGGGACAUUAAUACCAGUAAUGAGGGAUGCCUCGGUGGCUCAGCGGUUGAGUGUCUGCCUUUCGCUCAGGUCAUGAUCCCCGGGGUCCAGGAUGGAGUCCCACAUUGGGCUCCCUGCGGGGAGCCUGCUUCUCCC